rnacentral:rRNA from 1 species
UGGGGAAUUUUGGACAAUGGGCGAAAGCCUGAUCCAGCAAUGCCGCGUGUGUGAAGAAGGCCUUCGGGUUGUAAGCACUUUUGUCCGGAAAGAAAUCCUUGGCUCUAAUACAGUCGGGGGAUGACGGUACCGGAAGAAUAAGCACCGGCUAACUACGUGCCAGCAGCCGCGGUAAUACGUAGGGUGCAAGCGUUAAUCGGAAUUACUGGGCGUAAAGCGUGCGCAGGCGGUUUGCUAAGACCGAUGUGAAAUCCCCGGGCUCAACCUGGGGAACUGCAUUUGGUGACUGGCAGGCUAGAGUAUGGCAGAGGGGGGUAGAAUUCCACGUGUAGCAGUGAAAUGCGUAGAGAUGUGGAGGAAUACCGAUGGCG